GGUAUAUUGGAAAUAGAAUUUUGCCUUAUUAGAGGAAGCGGAAGGCAUGAUUUUAAACAGAAAGGCAGCCUCAGUUAAAUAAGGAGAAAAGCAGCAACUACAAGGAGAGAUGGAGGUAUAGAGCAUAAGGGAAUCCAUGAAGUACAGAAUACGGAUGCAGGGAGCAACAUCUCAAGCCAUAAAAAUGUUCUCAAUUUCCCUUUGUUAAGGAAAGG
rnacentral:lncRNA from 1 species